rnacentral:rRNA from 1 species
GAUGAACGCUGGCGGCGUGCCUAAUACAUGCAAGUCGAGCGAACGGACGAGAAGCUUGCUUCUCUGAUGUUAGCGGCGGACGGGUGAGUAACACGUGGAUAACCUACCUAUAAGACUGGGAUAACUUCGGGAAACCGGAGCUAAUACCGGAUAAUAUUUUGAACCGCAUGGUUCAAAAGUGAAAGACGGUCUUGCUGUCACUUAUAGAUGGAUCCGCGCUGCAUUAGCUAGUUGGUAAGGUAACGGCUUACCAAGGCAACGAUGCAUAGCCGACCGGAGAGGGUGAUCGGCCACACUGGAACGGAGACACGGUCCAGACUACUACGGGAGGCAGCAGUAGGGAACCUUACGCAAUGGGCGAAAGCCUGACGGAGCAACGCCGCGUGAGUGAUGAAGGUCUUCGGAUCGUAAAACUCUGUUAUUAGGGAAGAACAUAUGUGUAAGUAACUGUGCACAGCUUGACGGUACCUAAUCAGAAAGCAACGGCUAACUACGUG